AACCAUUGUCCACCAAAGAGCAGCACUGAGCAGAAAUAACACUGCUCCUGUUCAUUCUCCAUCAGUGAGGGGCCGGUGCUGGACACUGUGUAGGGACGCGGGAAUGCAAAGUCAUACACAUGACUGUGACUGAUGCACUAUCUCCAGGACAUGGAGUAGCAUUUCCGGACCUACAGCAAGACGUUGGAUGAAGGCAUAGCCCCAGAAAUAACACUGGUCCUGUUCAUCAGUGAGGGGCCGGUGCUGGACACUGUGUAGGGACACGGGAAUGCAAAGUCAUGCACAUGACUGUGACUGAUGCACUAUCUCCAGGACAUGGAGUAGCAUUUCCGGACCUACAGCAAGACGUUGGAUGAAGGCAUAGCCCCAGAAAUAACACUGGUCCUGUUCAUCAGUGAGGGGCCGGUGCUGGACACUGUGUAGGGACACGGGAAUGCAAAGUCAUGCACAUGACUGUGACUGAUGCACUAUUUCCAGGACAUGGAGUAGCAUUUCGGGACCUACAGCAAGACGUUGGAUGAAGGCACAGGCCUAGGAAUCAUGCACAUACACAGAAACAUUUGCCCAAAUUCUAGAGGUAACCUCCUUUAGUAUGCCCAGAGGAAGGGCCAUACAGUAGCCAUGGAUUCCCUACAGGUUUCCUCCCCUCUGGAGGUUUUUCCUGUCCUGAGUAUUAGUUACUGUACGCUCUUUGUGAGUGAUGGGAGGUUACAAAAAAUCCCCUACACAAACAUUUUAAUAAAUAAUAAAUAAAGUUCCCCUUUUUUUAAACUGUUC